AUUGAACGCUGGCGGCAGGCCUAACACAUGCAAGUCGAGCGGAUGACGGGAGCUUGCUCCUGGAUUCAGCGGCGGACGGGUGAGUAAUGCCUAGGAAUCUGCCUGGUAGUAGGGGACAACGUUUCGAAAGGAACGCUAAUACCGCAUACGUCCUACGGGAGAAAGCAGGGGACCUUCGGGCCUUGCGCUAUCAGAUGAGCCUAGGUCGGAUUAGCUUGUUGGUGAGGUAAUGGCUCACCAAGGCGACGAUCCGUAACUGGUCUGAGAGGAUGAUCAGUCACACGGGAACUGAGACACGGUCCAGACUCCUACGGGAGGCAGCAGUGGGGAAUAUUGGACAAUGGGCGAAAGCCUGAUCCAGCCAUGCCGCGUGUGUGAAGAAGGUCUUCGGAUUGUAAAGCACUUUAAGUUGGGAGGAAGGGUUGUAGAUUAAUACUCUGCAAUUUUGACGUUACCGACAGAAUAAGCACCGGCUAACUCUGUGCCAGCCGCCGCCGUAACAC
rnacentral:rRNA from 1 species